UUCCUCUGUGGAUGUGUGUGUCAUAUAGGAAAAAUGUCACAGCUGGAGUGAGAAAUCUGGGAGUGGCAUGAAAAGCAAGAGCCUGGAUGACCCCGGAAGAAUGAAACAGUGAACAAGAAAGGGUAAGCCGCCAAGAAUGGAGGAGGACCAGAGCAGCAACCAGAGUGAAGCCAGCCCAGCUUGAAGUCAGGAGAGGCAGACGUGAGGAAGACGGGAACUCCCAGGGAGUCUCUGUGGAGAGGGGACAAGCCUUUCACCUUUGUUUAACCUCGUCUUUCGUGGUUUCAUCCCUCUGGAGUUCCCUGGGGAUGGGUGCCAGAUUCUAAAGAGGGACUUGGAGCAGCCGUGUGAUCAGACACUGGAGCCGGUCUUGUACUCCUGUUCAUGGGCUCUCAGGCAAUUAGGAUUAUGGUUGUUGCUGACUUAGUAGAAGUGGUUGUUGCUGAUUUAGUAGGUGUGAAGUGGCAUGCCAUUGCCACCAUCUGUGUUUCCUUGAUUGCAAGAAUGAAAGGAAAAGUUACCUUCAUUGAACUUUACUGCAUGCCAAGCACUGUGGUGAUGAAUUUUGUCUCUAUUUGCCCAUGAGGACCCUGGAAAAAGAAGAAAAAGAGGAAUUUUCCAGCAGGGCAUUCAGUGAUCAGCACUCGUAGAGCUGGAAACUAAUUUUGUCAAAAAUCUGUAAUUUGUAAUUGCAUUUGUAAUUUGUAUUGCAUUAUAUACAUGAAUACACUUCCUAAAUGCAUGUCCUGUUUGAUGGCUGACUUUUAACUUAAAAUUUUAAACUUUUAUUAUUUUAAAUUUUAAUUCUGGAAUUAUUUUAAAUUCAUAGCAAAGCUCAAAGAUGUAAAGGAUUGCUAUGCACCCUUUGCCUGAGGUUGCCUAUUGUCAACAUCCUAGGAAGACUAGCAACAAAACUAUUCAA